rnacentral:rRNA from 1 species
AUUGAACGCUGGCGGCAGGCUUAACACAUGCAAGUCGAGCGGGGUGAGGUGCUUCGGUACUGAUCCUAGCGGCGGACGGGUGAGUAAUGCUUAGGAAUCUGCCUAUUAGUGGGGGACAACAUUCCGAAAGGAAUGCUAAUACCGCAUACGUCCUACGAGAGAAAGCAGGGGAUCUUCGGACCUUGCGCUAAUAGAUGAGCCUAAGUCGGAUUAGCUAGUUGGUGGGGUAAAGGCCUACCAAGGCGACGAUCUGUAGCGGGUCUGAGAGGAUGAUCCGCCACACUGGGACUGAGACACGGCCCAGACUCCUACGGGAGGCAGCAGUGGGGAAUAUUGGACAAUGGGCGGAAGCCUGAUCCAGCCAUGCCGCGUGUGUGAAGAAGGCCUUUUGGUUGUAAAGCACUUUAAGCGAGGAGGAGGCUACCCAGAUUAAUACUCUGAGAUAGUGGACGUUACUCGCAGAAGAAGCACCGGCUAACUCUGUGCCAGCCGCCGCCGUAAUAC